AAUACCCUAUUAUUUUAAAAGUAAUUAAUGAGACCUAAUUAGUAAUAGUUAAGUUCUUGAAAAUUAAAGAAUUUGGCGGUAUUUUAGUCUAUUCAGAGGAAUCUGUCCUAUAAUUGAUAAUCCACGAUUUUUUAUAUCUAUAUUAUUAAUUUAUAUAUCGUCGUAGUUUGAAUAUUUUUUAAAAAUUAUAAUAUUCAUAAUUUAUUUUAAUAAAAAAAAUCAGAUCAAGGUGUAGUUUAUAUGUAGAAAGAGAUGGAUUACAAUAAAAGUAUUUAUACGAAUUAAUUAGUUAAAUUUAUUUAUGAAGGUGGAUUUGAUAGUAAUUUUAUUUA
rnacentral:rRNA from 1 species